rnacentral:lncRNA from 10 species
CAGUGAGAUCAAGAACACACCAAUUCUGGACCCAGUAUCUCCCCAUACCCUAACUCCUUUCCCAAAGUAGGCAGAAAAACAGCCCUGUUGUUCCGGUGGAAGCCUUAGCUCUGUAUUCCUUUUAGACUGUAUUUCAAAACGCAUUAUUAGAGCCCCAAAGUCACCUGGUGAAAGAAUGUGAGAGCUGGAAGUGGCCUCAAAAUCCAGUUGAACCCUCUUAUUUCAUAUGUUUGGAAACUGAGCACUAGAAAAGGAAGAAAAAUCACUUAUAGAAACUGAUGGCGAGAAACUCAGGACUUUGUUAAAUAUUCAAGACCUACAUUACAGACUGUAAAAAGAGGAGCCCACUGCCCAAUGGAGAAUGUUUUUGAAGUCCACAGAUAAUAUCGUCUACAAUUUAUUUUCUCUGCUGAAAAAAGAAACUCAUGCAGGAAACAUUUUGAAACCAAGUAAAUAAAACAGAGAUGCCCGCAAUUUCCUGCAAGUCUGACUAAAAAUAGGAAACUCUGCAAUCAUGAAAGUC